rnacentral:rRNA from 1 species
UACGGAGGAUGCAAGCGUUAUCCGGAAUUAUUGGGCGUAAAGAGCUCGUAGGCGGUGUGUCACGUCGGCCGUGAAAACCUGCAGCUUAACUGUGGGCGUGCGGUCGAUACGGGCAUCACUGGAGUUCGGCAGGGGAGACUGGAAUUCCUGGUGUAGCGGUGAAAUGCGCAGAUAUCAGGAGGAACACCGGUGGCGAAGGCGGGUCUCUGGGCCGAUACUGACGCUGAGGAGCGAAAGCGUGGGGAGCAAACAGG